AUUGAACGCUGGCGGCAUGCCUUACACAUGCAAGUCGAACGGCAGCACGGGAGCUUGCUCCUGGUGGCGAGUGGCGAACGGGUGAGUAAUACAUCGGAACGUACCCAGGAGUGGGGGAUAACGUAGCGAAAGUUACGCUAAUACCGCAUAUUCUGUGAGCAGGAAAGCGGGGGAUCGCAAGACCUCGCGCUCUUGGAGCGGCCGAUGUCGGAUUAGCUAGUUGGUGAGGUAAAAGCUCACCAAGGCGACGAUCCGUAGCAGGUCUGAGAGGAUGAUCAGCCACACUGGGAGUGAGACACGGCCCAGCAUCCUAAGUGAGGCAGCAGUGGGGAAUUUUGGACAAUGGGGGCAACCCUGAUCCAGCCAUGCCGCGUGAGUGAAGAAGGCCUUCGGGUUGUAAAGCUCUUUCGGCGGGGAAGAAAUGGCAACGGCUAAUAUCCGUUGUUGAUGACGGUACCCGCAUAAGAAGCACCGGCUAACUACGUGCCAGCAGCCGCAGUAACAC
rnacentral:rRNA from 1 species